GGUUGUUAGUAGGUAUUAAUAAUCUUACCUGCCCAAUGCUUAAGUGAAUGGCUGCAGUAUAUUGACUGUACUAAGGUAGCAUAAUCAAUAGUUUUUUAAUUGGAGACUGGUAUGAAGGGUUAAAACCAUAAGGACGGUUUUGUUAAUUGAUUUUGAAUUUAAGUUAAAAGUAAAAACGCUUUUAUUAACCCUUGGGACGAGAAGACCCUAGAAGCUUUAUAUGCGAUGGUAUUUUGGUUGGGGUGACUAUUGAAGAGAUGGAUCUUUAAUUUUGGGAUUUGAUUGUUGUAAGUUACUCUAGGGAUAACAGCGUAAUUUGAUCUAUGAGUUCUUAUUUGAGAUGAAGUUUGCGACCUCGAUGUUGAAUUAAAUGGAAGUGAGGUGAAGGAGCUUUA
rnacentral:rRNA from 1 species